UAUAUAAAUAACAAGGGCAUAACUGCAUAAGAGACUUUUGCCACUUAAUGAAGAAGAUAUUUUUGAAAAUGUCUCUUUAGUGGUGGUAAAAAUGAAAAAUGGUACCAUAAAAGUGGUAAACAUGUAAUUUCCCCUUCUUUUUUUUUAGAUAUUAGUGUAAAAAAAUAUCAUUGUUAUUAUGUUUUAGGACAUGUAAUAUAAAAAACUAAUUUCACUAGUACACAAUAAUACUAUAAGAGCCACUAAGCCAAACUUUUCAGAUGAUAAGUAUCUUAUAUAAUAAAGGAGAGUUGUCUCUCUCCUUAGGCUAUCCAGCUCAGAAAAGAGGAAGGGGCAAAAACCUCCACGUGGCAUCCCUAAAAAUUCUUCUAUCGAUUUGCUUUUGAAAAUUUUUAUCGGCUGGAUCAUCCGUUUUUAUUAUUAUGUGCUGGGCCAUUUGCGCAUUUGUUUUGUAUAUUUGCUGGCCCAUUAAAAUAUAGGGUUAGCAUCACCUUCUGAAUUUCUGAGAAACAUUUGCAGGAAACCUCUUCAGCCGAUCAUCUCAACGUAACGUUUCCAGUUUUGCAUUAAUAAGUCUUUCAUUCUGAGCUUUAAAUUCAUUACCCCACUCUCAAUCGGACUCAUCCUCUCUCAGCGUAACCGACCGAAGGUCUGACUAUAAAUCUCCGAUCUCCGAGCUAUAAACAACAAAACUUCAACCAAAUCGAGAAGAGUAUACUUUAUAAUUAGAAACUCCAAUGAUGAGCAUGAAGAAAGGCGGUGAACUAAUGACUCUUGACAUGCUACUUAUUGACGAGAAGUCAAUUCUCAUGCAAGGAUCUGUUAGUGCGAAUCGUCUUCUCUAAAAUGGCGACCAAAAUAAGAGUCCUUAGCUCAUCAUUUGGUCUCUUUAUCUUCUUCUCUUAUCGAAAUCUUCUAAAAUGGCGAAUCCUCAAUUGCUUCUGUCUGAGUUGAAGGCUGAUCGGUGUAAGGAGACUGUUGUUACCCGUCUCUUCCGUUUCUUGGAAGCUAGGAAUGUCAAGAAAAGUGGGGAGCUUAUGGAGAUCAAUAUGGUUUAGGUAGGCGAUAAGGUGAUUUGAUUCUACUGAAUCUGUGUUUCUUUUAACUUAUGAAAUUUUUUUGCUUUCUAACGCUACAGUGGCUCAAUCUUUUGAUUCUUUAGCUCAUUGGAUAAAAGUCGAUAUAUAACGUUUGAUUGUUUUUUAUGGUUGCAGUCCACGAUGAUCCAGAGGCCCAGCUGUUUGUGUCAGUGAUUUUGAUGGUCUAGCAACUCUCCUUCAUAACAAAGUGGUGGUCUCAGGUGUUGAGCCAAAGGUGUUCGUCGCAACAAACCUCAAUCCUAAGUUGGUCGGAGGAUCUUGUUUCUCUGACAAAUUUUCCAAAUAAACCAAUUCCACUUAGCAACUCCUGAGGUGCUUAAUUUUUCCAUUCUGACAGGUCGUCUUUUCCUAAACACUACGACAAGAAUCCAUUUUUACUUUACUAUUUUUCAAGUACAAAGGUGUUUAGAAGAUAGAGACUGUGACUGCUGCUGAGCUUAAUGCAUAUGUUCUGAACUCGGGCCCAAAGGUGCACACGUUAACUUAUGUUCUCCUCUAUUACUGCUUGAUGUUUGUAUUUCUAAAAUGGUAACCAAUCUAAAAUUACGACAGUUGGUGGAGUUCUCCUGCACUGAAGUUUAUAGUAUUGACACUGAAAACGGGUGGUGCUACACCUAUAGGAAGCUUCAACGUGUAUUCUCUUCAUUCACAUGUGCAGCAUGCCACAAUGAAAAUAUAGUUGGGUGUUUGUCUGCAUAAACUGAAAUAUUUUCAUUUAUAAUACUGCAAUGGUAAGCAUUGUUUAACUCAAUAAACCUAAACAAUGAACAUGCUGUUACUUAUGCAAGUGAAGUGUGCAGUUUUCGGUCUCAGAUGGUACAGACUCGGGUGAGUUUGUUGCCUUUGAUGGAGAAAUGACUAAGCUAACAAAUGCACAUGCUUCAGAGGUUGCACAAUUAAUGGUAAAUCCACGCAUACCUUCUUAAAUAAUUGUGUUAUUAUUUCAAAAAAAAAAUUUCAUAAACACAACUACUUAAUAUGUAAAUGCUUUCUUGGUGCAGGACCCUGGUGGGGAGGACCCCGAGCAAAGAUCCCUGCUACAGUGCUUGAAGGAUAUGGUUGGAUGCACUUUCACUUUCCAGUUGAAGCUUUCCCCAUUCAAGUUCUCCCCAAAGCAUCAGUCCUUUACCAUAUCAAGGAUCUUUGACCGGCAAUCAGCGUCCAUCACUUCCAAACUUUGCUCCACCUGUAGGCUUUACCACUUUCUAAACUUGCUCUCAAAUUAUAGUUCUGUUGUUCAUCCUAUUAUAUGGGUUUAUGCGCAGGGUGAUGAUAGUAACCUUGGAGAUGGCAGGCCUAGAGUAGUUUCAUCUAAGCCCUCCAGUAAUGUCACCAAGGUCUCCCUGGCGAACGAAGCUUUGCUGGCGAGCUGUGGAGUGCUUGGGAAAGCUACAGCCGCUAGCAGUGUUGUCUACUAUGAACAUGUCAUGUGGUUGGUGAAAGCACAGCCGAGGGACCAGCCGAGCAGGACUUGAGGACGAUGGGCGGACCAUGAGAAAGGCUCGCAAUGCUUAGCUUAGGGGAAUAGCCAAGACCAAUGCCUACUACUACUUACAUUAAGAUUUUAUAUUUUUCUAAGCUUAUAUUAAUAGUUUCGUACCUCCUUUGUUCAAUGAGUCAUUUCGUUUUUGUUUUCCUCACUUAUUAUUUCCUAGGCUUGGUCAAUAAUAAAUCUAAUGGGCUCAAAUAUAAUUUUAAAGGAAACAAUUAAGAAAGUUUCUCAUAAAUUUCUAAUUUGAUAUACAAACAAAUAAGGCCAAGUUUAAAAAAAGGAGCAACUGUCUUCUCCCUAUGCCAACAAGCUUAAGAAUAUGUAUUUUAAUGGAAACCAACUUGCAACCAUUAAGCUGGGAACCAGCUAUUAAACCAUGAUUUCAUGAAAAUCUACUAUAUGCCAACUUCUAUUUCUAUUUAACCCAAGUUGUUUCAUAGACAAAAAAUACAGUAGCACCAAGCCAUAGCAAAGGACGUUGGACUGACUUUGACGGCCAUGACAUUGAGAUUCACAAGGUGAACAAAGCAGUUGAAUAAUUCUUAAUGGAUCCCCAGUAAGAUAGUCAGUUUGAUUAAAAUAUUCUGAGAACAGAAGGAUAUGGUCAGAUACUCCUACGUUCUUCAAUACUUUUUUCGACGAGUUGUGUAUCCGGUUAUGUAUUUAGUUGGUUGUCUUGACCUAAAUUAGGAGUCAAUCAUGUUUCUCUUCCAUAGGGUUGCAUGCAUACGUAACUUGCCAAAUCCAGUCCGUAACCAAGAACAUUGCUUUCGAUUAAAGAUAUGAAACUUUUAAAAAAUUAUACUGUAUACUUAUACAUAUUCGUGAGAAAACAUUAAAUGUAGAGCGUAUUAUAACUGAAGUCCUCAAUUAUAAAAUGUCACAUACUCUAGAUUUCUAUGAUCAAUAAGCCAUAGUAAAAUUAUAAUGGCAAAUAAAUAGAGAGAAACAUGCAAUUUAUCUAUACGGUAUAACCAUGUUACGUAAGGGAGAUAAAAAAGUUGGAGAAGCAUACGUUGAUAAAAUUGGUUGGAACACGUCCAUAAUGUGAGUGAUCAGUGUUGGAACCGCAUAAAAGCUCGACUGUUACUUCACCACUCUACAAGCAACGAAUGCUAAAUUAUGCCACUUACACAACACUAACGGGCCACUUUCCAGACCGGAUUAAUGGAUUAAGAUGUAAGUCUUCUCUGAUACCAUGAUACUGGUGAUUCCAUGAUUACAAACAAUUUUAAAUUCAUUAGAGAAUAAAACAUACGAACCCGGCGCGUAGCGCCGGAAUACUACUAGUAAGUUAUAAAAUAGACAACUAUUGAAUAUAUCAACUAUAUUUAUAUUUAGAAUGUGAAAGGAAAAAUUAACUGAGAAAAUUUCAUAUUAAUAAACAACUUUAAUUACUAUUUCCAACUUAAUACGCAGAUUUUUAGACUAGCCAAAAAAUACAAAAAAAAAAUUUUCAUUUAAAACACCAACUAAAGACCAUGUAGUUUGGCUCGUUAACACCGUUACCAAUACUAUUAACACCGUAAAGUAAUUGUUAAUCUUGUCGUUUAGUGUUAAACCAUGGUUAAUAAACUAAUUGUUAUCUUAAACGAUGUCGAUUAGUUUACUCUCUUAUUUCUCCUAAAUAAAAAACUAUAAUUUAUAAGAAAGAGGACAAUUGAUUUUCAUUAAAAAAUCACAUUCUUCUUUCUAUCAGAAUGUUCGUUGUAAGAGUGUGUGCGAGUUUGUGUUGUCCAAGGCAAGUAAUAAGUUGUUUGUGUUGUUGGUCGUGUGUUUGUUGGAUUUGUUUCCGAAACAAGUUGUAUGUCUAUUGCGUCUUUGUGUUGGUCAUAUGUAUUUGUGGGUUUGUCGUGUUAUAAUAAGAUUUUGUUUUUCGAUUUUGAAAUUCUAUAUGCACAAAAAAACAAUACAAUAACUAAAGUUUUAACAAGGUUAAUAACUAGAGCUGUGAAACAAAAGACAAGCAUCCAAAGACAGCAUAAUAACUAGAGUUGUAAAACAAAAGACUAAAAUCCAAAGAAAAAUUUCAAGAGAUUUAGCUAAAACCCCACACAUUCAUUUUUUAGAAGAACUUAUAAUUCUUGAACUAUCUCCAUAAACUUCAAAUAAUUUGUUAGUAAUUGGAUUUAUAUAGACUCCAUAUCUCCUAGAAAUAACCUCUCUGCUUGCUUGUCCUUUUCCAAGAGGACGCCCACGUCCACGGACACGACUAGUUGCAGGUGGUCUUCUUGCUGCAUCAGUUGCAGGUGGUCUUGUUGUUUCAUCAGUGGAAAUCGACAAAUAUGGGCUUGUAGAUGCCUUGGGGCAUGAAGAUAUAACAUUAGGUGUGUUGAUGAAAGAUUGGAACUGUGUUUUUUUCAAUCUCCUUGGUCUUUUUGGAUUUGUUUCUUCUUCUUCCUAUAAUGUUAAAUAAUUCAGAUACAAAACUAUUAUAUUAAUAUGAAGUGGCAAAUCUGAUAAGAAGAUAUCAUAUAACUCACAGAUAUAUUAAACGGUCUUCCACGUUUACGUUUUGGACUUUGAACCACAUGAGUGGCAUUCUUACAAGUGUUUCGGUUAUGUCCAACCUGUUGGCAAUUACCACAUGUCAUUGUUCUGCCAGCACGAGUCAAUCGGUUAGGUCUUGAAGGUGACUCAUGUGCUGCCUUAAUCAUCUUUCUCUUAGGACGUCCGGGCAUUUUCCUGAAACCCGUAACUCCAAUGGAGUCUUUACGAGCCUUCCUCCAAAAAAUUCUCCAUCAACUUGUUUUAUGUUGUUCCUGUAAGUCUCUAUCCAAACCUGAAUCUUGAAGUAAUAAUCACAUAACUGCAUAAAAAUGUUAACAUUAUCAAAAACGAUGUAAGCACCAUAUGAUAUAAUAAAAUAUACAAUAACUUACUUAGCUGGAUCUUAGUUAAUGUCAUUGAUGACCUGAACUGCAUGCCAAUAUGGGAUGCCUGUGAGGUCACACUCCCGACAAAUACAAGUUUUUAUUCGAAGACUCACCUUGAAGCUAAAACCAUAUAAUCUUACUUCAUACAAAUUAUCGCUACUCUUUUACAUAGUACAACGGUUACUUGUUUCUCGGUCUGCUUCCAAAGUAACAACUAAUUUUUUUGAGAAAUCCAGUAGACAUUGGUUUUCCUUCACACACCUUUGAGAGAAAUGCACAUCAUAGCUUGCCUCCUAAUUGUUUCCAACAUAUUAAUCAGAGGCAACUCUCUGAAUUUUUUAAUUGUCAUGUUUAAGCUCUCAUAUAAGUUGUUGCAGACCUUAUCAUAUUGUGCUACACUGGAGAAGAAAGCACGACACCAAGUGCUAGGAUCAGAUGCUUUUAAGUCAUCAUGUAAUUCUCUAUCAAAUAUACGCAACUCAUCCAUCAUUGAUUCAAACUAUGAAAUUGUUUGAUUGUAAGCCACCCUCCAGAAGAAAGGUCUAUUGUCUUCAUUGAUGUAAGUCUCUUCCAAUUAGCAUACACAUUCUUAGCACAGUUCCUAUGCUCUUCGUUUGGGAGAACUGUUGCUAGAGCAAUUUCCAGACCCUGAAAACACACAGAAAAAAAGAAAUUAUUGAGACCAAUUAAGUUUUAUAUACUCUUGCAGACCCUGGAACUCCUCAGUAUCAAACAAUGAGACCAAUCAAGUUUCUUGAAAUAUAUUAAGCUUGCUUUUACAUGCAUAUAACCAGUACAUAUUUUUCAUAUCAAAAAUACUACAUUUGAAAAACACAAUACAUAUAACAUAUUCAAACUUUUAUAAGACGACACUAUUUGAAAUCUGAGGUGACGACAUAAUUAACAUUUAUAAGAUUAUAAAGUUAUUCAUUGCCAUUAAUGUAAAAUGAAAUGUUGACCAUAUAUCAUGAUUUUUGACGCAGAUGAAAAGUAAAGACACAACAUAGAUCAAGAGCAAA